UGCGCGAGGACAGGACGGGGCGGGGGCUGGCCAGCGGCGACCUUUUCUCUGUAUUUCUCCUUCUUUUGUCCCUUAAAACACCCUCAUCAUCCCCGAAACGCACCGAACGGGCUUCCCGCGGCUGGAGAGCACCGUCACCGGCGGGAUUGCGGCGAAAGGGCUCGCGGCCUCCGCGGGAAAGUUUCUGACAGGCGCUCGUGACAGCGGCGGGAAUCUCGCGCGGAUUCGGCGCGGAUAACGGAGAAAUAACGUCAAAUACUGUCGAAGUUCGUGUGUAAAUAUAAAUAGAGUGAAAGUCCGAGCCGGGGAGCCGCAGCGCCCCCGCCGGUAACCUCACGGUAACCUCACGGGAAACUCUCCAGCGACACACCGGCGAUCAGCGGAACUCGGUGAAGGAUGGCCGCCUCAGUGAAGGUAGCGGUGAGAGUUCGGCCCUUUAACUCCCGCGAAACCAGCCGAGAUGCUAAAUGUGUCAUACAGAUGCAGGGAAACACCACCUGUGAUCUGGAGCCC